UAUUCGGUCAAUUUCUUCAAAGCCCUAGAUGUGUGUUUUCCCCUUUCGAAAUUGCAAGUUCCACCAGAUCCUUCACUUUUGCCAUGUUCAUUGUCUGUCCAUCCGCGUUUACCGCCGUGUUCCACCUCUCUAAAAACGCGUAUCAGAUCCUUCACUUUCCAUUCGUCCGUCCAACUCUCUCUCUUCCACCGCCCUCUCCGAUUCUCUCCCUGUCGACGUCUUCAAAUCUCUCCCUGUUGCUCCAUCUCGCUCGCCUUCCUUUCAAUCUACAUUUUGUUUCGUUCUUGUUCUUCUCCUUGGGGAUUUCAUUUCUCCAGGUUUCAAUCGAUUGCUUGUGGUGUGUCACAUUCCAACCUAAAGAGUUCUUCUUCCUUGUCUGGUCAAAGAAUUCAACUUGCUCAUCUUAGUUAUCUACUGGUGUUAGUAUUUUAUGCUUUUUUUUAUUGAAUCUUUCCGUUUCUACAUUUUGCGGAAUUGAAAAUUUUCUUUGUUCUGCUUAUUUAUUUAUUGAAUUUUUUUUCUUUUUCUUUCUUUGACAUUAUUUCUUAUGUAAAUAUAAUCUUUAAUUUUUGUUUAUUUGUUAAUUUCAUUUGUAAAUGUCUUAUACUCUUCUUUCCUUCUCCUUUUUGGUUUUUAAAUUCCUUACUCUUCUUGGCUACUCUCAUUCGGUUUUUGUUCUGGUUUUGUUCUCCAUCUCUAUUUGUUUCCAUGUGUGCUGUCUGUUGCACCUCUUUAAUUUGUGAUAAUUGGAACUUUUUUUGUUCUUGCUUCUUUGUUGGCUGAAUGCUUUGAGUCAAAGACUUGAUUGUGAGGAUAAUUUGAAAAUGUGUUCGGAUAAUGACAUUUAUGUCUUGCCCCGGCGAGAUUUGAAGUUCAUAUUUUUCUAUCCCCAUGUAUUUCAAUUUGCGCAAGCUUAGUAUUCAAUGUGAAAAUGUCUCCAUUUCACACGAUCCAACUGUGUACAAUGUCUCCAACGAUGGAAACUUAAUCGUACAUUUUCCAUUGUGAAAGCAAUAUAGUCUUGGUAAGGCAUAUAUUUCGAUUUCUUCCAGGUUGUUGAAAACAAUUUCACCAUUUUCUUCUUCUCCUUCUUCUAGUGCAACUAUACAUCUUGAAUAGACACCAAAUUUUCCAGAUAUUCUGCCACCGAAGAGCUAAACAAGUUCAUCAUUUUAUUGCAUUAUGUAAUCACAAGAAACUUAAAAUUAGGAAUGUGACUGAGGAUGGCAAUAUGCACUUUACAUUCUCACAUCCGACUAUGUAAAUUGUUUCCAAAUUAUCAAAGCUAAUUGUGGUGACUUCACUACUUUCUUUCCACACAUGCAUAAGCUUUGGAAGAUUACCUAAUGAUAAGAUAUUCAACUUUGCACAUCUUUAAACAUCAUUACUAUUGCUUCUACUUAAUUCUUCAUUUUCACACACUUGUACCAGGUGAUGGCCAUUUAUUAUUCCAAUUUCUUCAAUAUUGUAUAGUAAUUCACUCAUUUCCAAUGGCAAACAAACUAUGUCAUCAUCCUCACAACCAAUCGGUUUAAGUUAAGCUUGAUAUUUUGCGCCAUAUAUAAAUUUGUUCUCAAUUCUCAAUGUUCAAUUAGUGAAGUUAACCAGAUUGCACUGGUGUUUGUUUAGUAUCCAACAUUUCACUUGGCAUUUGAUGAAGGUUUCAUGUUUUCUUGUUAAUGAUACAUGCCCCUUUUCUAAUUCAGCUUCGCAUUAUUAUACACACCAUCAAAAUAUUUAGUUUAAAAACAUUUAGUUACUCAUCAGUUUUAGUUUGGUUGCCAUGUUCGAAGUUCAUGAAAGUAAUGGUAAUUUUGGCAGAUCAGAACUGAGAACAUGGACCUAAUAGCUGAGACAGGCAUUGCUACUCAUUAUUGUGGUACAAGCAAUCCCAGUUAGAAACUUUAUCCCAAUUGUAGAAGUUGAAGAGGGAAAGCCAUCUGUCUCAGUGAUGCAAAUAUUGCACUCGGGUGAAAUGUUGCUGUAAAAUGUGCUACAAUCACCCCAGUUGAGGCCAGAUUCAAAGAGUUUGGACUUAAAACUAUAUGGAGAAGUCCCAAUGAAAAUUUGGAGACAUCAAGAGAGCUCGAGGUUUAAGACUUCAAAGGGUCAGGCAUAGCAUUUACAAUGUCGAGACAAAAUUUGUGGAAGUUUUAGCAUUCAGAUUGAUACACGAAAAUCAUACUCACAAGUCGAGUUAGAUGAGGUGCGAGUUGACUUGGUUGAUUUUUUGGGUUCGUACAUAUGAUUGCGACUUAUUUGUGAUCCUGAAGCAAGAUAUUUUUUAUUGUGGUUGCCAUUUUGAAAGUUUAUGUGUAUACAUAAUAUAGGUGAAUUUUUUUUUUAUUGUUUGUAUGAAGGGGGGUUGAUUAGUAUCCUUUUGAGAUUAGAUUUAUUAUAGGUAGAUAUAGUUUUCGGCUAAGUUUGUUAAUUAAAGGAUGUUAAGUUGAAUUCUUGGCAAUCUAAUAGAAUUAUUUAUAUUGGUUUUGUAAAUGAUCUUCAAUAUUCAUAUAUGUAAAGCUUUGGAAAUGAUAUGGUGAAAGGUUUUAUAUA